GCUUAAAAAUGCAGUCGAGCGAACAGAAGAAGGAGCUUGCUCCUUCGACGUUAGCGGCGGAGGGGAAAAAAGAGUGGGCAACCUACCUUAUAGUUUGGGAUAACUCCUUUUCUAUCGGGGCUAAUACCGAAUAAUCUAUUUUACUUCAUGGUGAAAUACUGAAAGACGGUUUGAGGGUGUCGCUAUAAGAUGUGCCCGCGGCGCAUUAGCUAGUUGGUGAGGUAACGGCUCACCAAGGCGACGAUGCGUAGCCGACCUGAGAGGGUGAUCGGCCACACUGGGACUGAGACACGGCCCAGACUCCUACGGGAGGCAGCAGUAGGGAAUCUUCCACAAUGGGCGAAAGCCUGAUGGAGCAACGCCGCGUGAGUGAAGAAGGUUUUCGGAUCGUAAAACUCUGUUGUAAGGGAAGAACAAGUACAGUAGUAACUGGUUGUUUCUUGACGGUACCUUAUUAGAAAGCCACGGCUAACUACGUGCCAGCAGCCCGCGGUAAUACGUAGGUGGUAAGCGUUGUCCGGAAUUAUUUGGGCGUAAAAGCGCGCGCAGGCGGUCCUUUAAGUCUGAUGUGAAAAGCCCACGGGCUCAACCCGUGGAGGGUCAUUGGAAACUGGGGGACUUGAGUGCAGAAGAGGGAAAGUGGGAAUUUCCAAGUGUAGCGGUGAAAAUUGCGUAAAGAUUUGCGAGGAACACCCAGUGGUGAAAGCGACUUUUCUGG
rnacentral:rRNA from 1 species